AAUGGCGGACACUGAGCGGCUUCACCAAAGGCAUUCUCUACCCUCCAAUCAAUUCGUCUGCCGUUUCACUCGCGGUGGGACUUCUGGCGAUAGAGAGAAUACUUUCCCGAUGUUUCGACUGCAGAUGAUGUGCACGUAGCCUACUGUAAAUAAUGUGCUCUAAUCGGAAUGUAGAUACAAAUAUAAACAAUAUUUCGUGUUUUACAUGUAGCGUCUGUAUAGAUCCCGAGUAUAAGCACAGGGAAAUGUAAUUUCACAGGAUUGCCGCAAGCACAAGUUAAUUGCAAAAAUGUAGCUACUUCUCGUCCGCUAUGAGCUACACUUCUCUCCUGUCUCUCAGGGGUGUGGAAGGCAUUCAGGUCCUUGACUGACCCGGAUAUCAAUCAAGGUGCCCCAUCUUUGAGGACAUUCCAACCUGUUAUAUGCUCAUUCAAGGAGCUAGGAGGCUCCCAAAUAAUUUUUGAGCAUGGAAACAGAAGUGUAUCCUUAGCGGAAGUUUUUUUUUGGAAAGCGUGACUUGUAAUGACGCACCUCUCCCCGUCUGCCACGUCUGUAAUUGAUGUGGCUUCAAACUGACGCUUGAAAGAGCAAGAACGUUGUAAUUGCCUUAUACACAUUUCCUUGAUUCCUCCAUCCUUGCAUACUUUUCUUGCUUCCUUUCCUUGCGCCCUCCAAAGGGUGGAGCUAGGAGCAAGGAAAGGAAGCAAGGAGAUAAAGUAAGCGAAAGGGAAUGAGCCGAUGUUGGCAACACACGAUUGCAGACAUCAAUUUGAUGUGUUUUUUUACUGGUUCGGCCUUCCAUACUGAAAGACUGACAAGGAGAAAAAAUGAGCAGUUGGAACGCACCCCCAGUAUAUAUAACUUUUUGCAUCUUGGGCAAUUUGCCUUUAGCUUUCUGUAGUUCUUUUUUAACCUUAGCAUGCACAUUGCAAUAUUCAGCCUUAUUACUCUCAGUGCUGUCGUUUUUAUAUAUGCCUACCGUAAGGCCCUUUUCAUGUUUCCCUAUGAUCUUAAUCCAGAUAUCCUCACCAGGCACGAGCUGAUCAGUUUCUGGAAUUUCCUGAACAUUAAAAUUUUCUUUUACAUAAAGGGCUGGAUCUAUCCUUCCUAAUGAGUUUGUACUCCUCUAUAUUAUAUUCAUCCCCAUCCUUCUCCCCAAGCCAUGUCUCUGUAAUGUCAACUAUGUCAUAGCCCCCACUAUUUAUAGCAGCCUCAAAUUCCAAAAAAUAAUUUUUUAUACUUCUUUUUGUGCAAUCGGACUAUGAUGUCUACCCCCUAAUAAUUGAGUCCCCCAAUAUCACCAACUCCAUUUUCCGGGUGCCCAGUGGCUCAUCAGUCAUCCCACUUUCAAGGCUUAAGGGCCAGGUCCAAUUCCUGCAAGGGCUGGAAUCGGUUGGACUCCACUCUGGAGAUGCUGCCCCUUUGUGGUGUGCAUGCUCUUUUUUGCGCUUGCUCCCUACUGUCACCCAACUUUCUCUCCCUACCUGCUCUGGAAUCUGCCCUUUCCCAGCUGUGGCGUGUGGGGCGGCAGUGUAGUAUAAUGUGUAAGGAGCUGGUCUUGUAACCUAAAGUCAUAGGUUCGUUUCCCAGGUUGGAUACUGCCGUUGUACCCUUAAGCAAGGUACUUAACCUGCAGUGCUACAGUAUAUAUCCAGCUGUGUAAAUGGAUGCUUCACUUCAAAUCACUAAUACACUGUUUCACCCCAGCCUAAUUACAGUAGAGCCUGACCUCAGUUUAAUCCUUCAUUCCAGGAACUGGCUAGUUCUUAAUCCGAUGAACUUGAAGACUGUGGAGAUAACACAAAUGGUCUUAUAAUAAAUAAAUUGUCUACUGAAUUCAAUUGCUAACUCUAUUCUGAAAUGAAUACUGUAAAAUACACUAUUUGUUGAUCGUUCAUUAAACGAUACUUA